UAAGAUUUUAGCUUAUUACCAAUUAAAUUUUAUAAAAUCUGGUAAGUGGAAUUUAGAUUAACAUAAAUCUUUUAUUUAUUUAUUUUAAUUUAAAUUUACUAAAUCUCUAUUUUCACUCAUUGUAUCAACCGUUCACACUCUCACCCCACUUUGUACGCUACUUUCUUUUGUUUCCCUAUUCUGCGGUUUUAUCUUCUUUUCUCUUCCUUCUUUCUCCUCUUUGAUUAUUCCUGAAUACUACCGUUUAUUUUGUGAGUUCUGUCACUUGGAUCGUAUUCUGUUUGCAGUGUGAUCUUCAGAGUAAGGAUUGGAUGAUGACUAUAGAGCUCGUAUUUCACUCUUUCGGUUUAACUAACAAAGAACCAUAAGCACCGGCACGGAAGGGAAAAGAGAAGAUUUUCGAGGAGUAAACUCGAGAAAAGCACGGU